CAAUAUUAUUAAUACUCAAAUUAUCUCAAUUAUCAAAAUUAUCAAUGUCUGUCAUUUUAUGAGUAGUUUUCAGCUUUCGCCUUAAAUAUCGAAGUCGAACAGUUAUUCGUCAGUGUAGUCUCGUCGGUGUUAUCCAGAUAGGAGUGCUUCCAAAGCCAACCAGGCUCAGCUACUCAGGAGAAACGCUAACUCAAAAGACAGCUCAACACAACAUUAACUAUUCAAGCCAGACAACAUCAAUUUGGAAUAUUACGAACAUUUUGGACUUUAACUUUAAAC
rnacentral:lncRNA from 1 species